rnacentral:rRNA from 1 species
UAAUACUAGCGGUCCAAGUCGCAGCCAUAUUUAUUGGGUCUAAAACAUCCGUAGCUUGUCAAGUGAGUUUUCUAUGAAAUCCCGGGUCUUAAGCUCGGGGCGAGUGGAAAAUACUGCCUGACUAGAGACCGGAAGACGCAGGAAGUACGUCCAAAGUAGCGGUAAAAUGUAUUAAUCUUGGACGGACUCACAAUAGCGGAGGCAUCCUGCGAGUACGGUUCUGACAGUAAGGGAUGAAGGCUAGGGGCGCAAAACGGAUUAGAUACCCGUGUAGUCCUAGCAGUAAACACUGCACACUAAACAUCAGUACCUCUUCGAGAGGCAUUGGUGCUGCAGGGAAGCCGAAGAGUGUGCUACCUGGGAAGUAUAGCCGCAAGGCCG